rnacentral:rRNA from 1 species
AUAUCAAUAAGCGGAGGAAAAGAAACCAACAGGGAUUGCCCUAGUAACGGCGAGUGAAGCGGCAAUAGCUCAAAUUUGAAAUCUGGCACCUUUGGGUGUCCGAGUUGUAAUUUGUAGAGAAGGUUUCGGUAUUGCUACUGAUCUAAGUCCCUUGGAACAGGGUGUCAUAGAGGGUGAGAGUCCCGUAUGUGAUUAGUUGUCUUUGCCAUGUGAAACUCCUUCGACGAGUCGAGUUGUUUGGGAAUGCAGCUCUAAUUGGGAGGUAAAUUUCUUCUAAAGCUAAAUACUGGCAGAACGACUGCAAGCGCACAAGUAGAGUGAUCGAAAGAUGAAAAGCACUUUGGAAAGAGAGUUAAACAGUACGUGAAAUUGUUGAAAGGGAAGCGCUUGCAACCAGACUUGCGCGCUGCUGAUCAUCCAAGGUUCUCCCUGGUGCACUCAGUAUCGGUCAGGCCAGCAUCAGUUCAGGUGGUUGGAUAAAGACCUCAGGAAUGUAGCUUCUCUCGGGGAGUGUUAUAGCCCUUUGUGCAAUGCAGCCUGCCUGGACCGAGGACCGCGCUUCGGCUAGGAUGCUGGCGUAAUGGUUGUAAGCGA